rnacentral:rRNA from 1 species
CCUACGGGGGGCAGCAGUGAGGAAUAUUGGUCAAUGGACGCAAGUCUGAACCAGCCAUGCCGCGUGCAGGAAGACGGCUCUAUGAGUUGUAAACUGCUUUUGUACGAGGGUAAACGCAGAUACGUGUAUCUGUCUGAAAGUAUCGUACGAAUAAGGAUCGGCUAACUCCGUGCCAGCAGCCGCGGUAAUACGGAGGAUUCAAGCGUUAUCCGGAUUUAUUGGGUUUAAAGGGUGCGUAGGCGGUUGGAUAAGUUAGAGGUGAAAUCCCGGGGCUCAACUCCGGAAUUGCCUCUGAUACUGUUCGGCUAGAGAUCAGUUGCGGUAGGCGGAAUGUAUGGUGUAGCGGUGAAAUGCUUAGAGAUCAUACAGAACACCGAUUGCGAAGGCAGCUUACCAAGCUGAAUCUGACGUUGAGGCACGAAAGCGUGGGUAGCAAACA